UACGAAGGGGCUAGCGUUGCUCGGAAUCACUGGGCGUAAAGCGCACGUAGGCGGUUUCUUAAGUCAGGGGUGAAUCCUGGAGCUCAACUCCAGAACUGCCUUGAUACUGGGAGACUUGGAGUCCGGGAGAGGUGAGUGGAACUGCGAGUGUAGAGGUGAAAUUCGUAGAUAUCGCAAGACACCAGUGGCGAAGGCGGCUCACUGGCCCGGUACUGACGCUGAGGUGCGAAAGCGUGGGAGCAACAGGGAUUAAGAAA
rnacentral:rRNA from 1 species